GAUGAAGAACGUAGCGAAAUGCGAUAAGUAGUGUGAAUUGCAGAAUUCAGUGAAUCAUCGAAUCUUUGAACGCACAUUGCGCCCCUUGGUAUCCCGAGGGGCAUGCCUGUUCGAGCGUCAUUUCUCCACUCAAGCCUGGCUUGGUGUUGGGCGACGUCCUCUUUGGGGACGCGCCUCGAAACGCUCGGCGGCGUGGCACCGGCUUUAAGCGUAGCAGAAUCUCUCGCUUUGGAAGUCGGGGCCCCGUCUGCCGGAAGACCUGCUCGCAAGGUUGACCUCGGAUCAGGCAGGGAUACCCGCUGAACUUAAGCAUAUCAAUAAGCGGAGGA
rnacentral:misc_RNA from 1 species